rnacentral:rRNA from 1 species
UACAGAGGUCUCAAGCGUUGUUCGGAUUCAUUGGGCGUAAAGGGCGCGUAGGCGGCGGGGUAAGUCGGGUGUGAAAUCUCAGAGCUCAACUCUGAAAUGGCACUUGAUACUGCUCUGCUAGAGGACUGGAGAGGAGAUUGGAAUUCACGGUGUAGCAGUGAAAUGCGUAGAUAUCGUGAGGAAGACCGGUGGCGAAGGCGGAUCUCUGGACAGUUCCUGACGCUGAGACGCGAAAGCGUGGGGGAGCAAACAGG